UGACCUGAAAGAGAUGUAAUUAUGAGUUCCGCCGAAGGUAAUAAGUAACCUCUUCGAAGAGAUAGAGAGCUAGCUCAGUUGCAUUGAAACACGAACUCACAAAGCCAUGAAUCAAUUCCUUGCCCGAUAAAAAAGCCAUUUUUUGCAUAUAACUCUUACGUUCGACACUUCCACUUGUCCCACUCUUUAUCCAUUGGGCUUCUC